ACGAACGCUGGCGGCGUGCUUAACACAUGCAAGUCGAACGGAAAGGCCUGCAGCUUGCUGCGGGUACUCGAGUGGCGAACGGGUGAGUAACACGUGGGUGAUCUGCCUUGCACUUCGGGAUAAGCUUGGGAAACUGGGUCUAAUACCGGAUAGGACAGCUGUUUAGUGUCAGUUGUGGAAAGUUUUUUCGGUGCAAGAUGAGCUCGCGGCCUAUCAGCUUGUUGGUGGGGUAAUGGCCUACCAAGGCGUCGACGGGUAGCCGGCCUGAGAGGGUGUACGGCCACAUUGGGACUGAGAUACGGCCCAGACUCCUACGGGAGGCAGCAGUGGGGAAUAUUGCACAAUGGGCGGAAGCCUGAUGCAGCGACGCCGCGUGGGGGAUGAAGGCCUUCGGGUUGUAAACUCCUUUCGACAGGGACGAAGCUUUUGUGACGGUACCUGUAGAAGAAGCACCGGCUAACUACGUG
rnacentral:rRNA from 1 species